rnacentral:rRNA from 1 species
GACGAACGCUGGCGGCGUGCUUAACACAUGCAAGUCGAACGCUGAAGCCCUUCGGGGUGGAUGAGUGGCGAACGGGUGAGUAACACGUGGGUAAUCUGCCCUGCACUCUGGGAUAAGCCUUGGAAACGGGGUCUAAUACCGGAUAGGACACAUCGCCGCAUGGUGUGUGUGUGGAAAGUUCCGGCGGUGCAGGUUGAGCCCGCGGCCUAUCAGCUUGUUGGUGGGGUGAUGGCCUACCAAGGCGACGACGGGUAGCCGGCCUGAGAGGGGGACCGGCCACACUGGGACUGGGACACGGCCCAGACUCCUACGGGAGGCAGUAGUGGGGAAUCUUGCGCAAUGGGCGAAAGCCUGACGCAGCAACGCCGCGUGGGGGAUGACGGCCUUCGGGUUGUAAACCUCUUUCGACCGGGACGAAGGAUUCGUUUGACGGUACCGGUAGAAGAAGCACCGGCUAACUACGUGCCAGCAGCCGCCGUAA